rnacentral:rRNA from 1 species
AGAGUUUGAUCAUGGCUCAGAUUGAACGCUGGCGGCAUGCCUUACACAUGCAAGUCGAACGGCAGCACGGACUUCGGUCUGGUGGCGAGUGGCGAACGGGUGAGUAAUACAUCGGAACGUGUCCUGUAGUGGGGGAUAGCCCGGCGAAAGCCGGAUUAAUACCGCAUACGCUCUACGGAGGAAAGGGGGGGAUCUUAGGACCUCCCGCUACAGGGGCGGCCGAUGGCAGAUUAGCUAGUUGGUGGGGUAAAGGCCUACCAAGGCGACGAUCCGUAGCUGGUCUGAGAGGACGACCAGCCACACUGGGACUGAGACACGGCCCAGACUCCUACGGGAGGCAGCAGUGGGGAAUUUUGGACAAUGGGGGCAACCCUGAUCCAGCAAUGCCGCGUGUGUGAAGAAGGCCUUCGGGUUGUAAAGCACUUUUGUCCGGAAAGAAAACCUCCGCCCUAAUAUGGUGGGGGGAUGACGGUACCGGAAGAAUAAGCACCGGCUAACUACGUGCCAGCAGCCGCGGUAAUACGUAGGGUGCAAGCGUUAAUCGGAAUUACUGGGCGUAAAGCGUGCGCAGGCGGUCCGCUAAGACAGAUGUGAAAUCCCCGGGCUUAACCUGGGAACUGCAUUUGUGACUGGCGGGCUAGAGUAUGGCAGAGGGGGGUAGAAUUCCACGUAGCAGUGAAAUGCGUAGAGAUGUGGAGGAAUACCGAUGGCGAAGGCAGCCCCCUGGGCCAAUACUGACGCUCAUGCACGAAAGCGUGGGGAGCAAACAGGAUUAGAUACCCUAGUAGUCC